AGAGUUUGAUCCUGGCUCAGGACGAACGCUGGCGGCGUGCUUAACACAUGCAAGUCGAACGGGGUCCAUGCUGUAGCAAUACAGCGGAAGACCUAGUGGCGAACGGGUGAGUAUCACGUGAGAAACCAACCCCGGUCUCUGGGAUAACAGGUGGAAACACCUGCUAAUACCGGAUGCCGUCGUUUCCUCGCAUGGGGAGAUGACGAAAGGGCUACCGGAUCGGGACGGUCUCGCGGCCUAUCAGCUUGUUGGGGAGGUAACGGCUCACCGAGGCUUCGACGGGUAGCUGGUCUGAGAGGAUGAUCAGCCACACUGGGACUGAGACACGGCCCAGACUCCUACGGGAGGCAGCAGUGGGGAAUCUUGCGCAAUGGGCGAAAGCCUGACGCAGCAACGCCGCGUGCGGGAUGAAGGCCUUCGGGUUGUAAACCGCUUUUACCAAGAAGGAAAAUGACAGUACCUGGAGAAUAAGGUGCGGCCAACUACGUGCCAGCAGCCGCGGUGACACGUAGGCACCAAGCGUUGCCCGGGUUUAUUGGGCGUAAAGAGCUCGUAGGCGGUUCAGUAAGUCGGGUGUGAAAACUCUGGGCUCAACUCAGAGACGCCACCCGAUACUGCUGUGACUUGAGUCCGGUAGGGGAGUGGGGAAUUCCUGGUGUAGCGGUGAAAUGCGCAGAUAUCAGGAGGAACACCAAUGGCGAAGGCACCACUCUGGGCCGAGACUGACGCUGAGGAGCGAAAGCGUGGGUAGCAAACAGGAUUAGAUACCCUGGUAGUCCACGCCGUAAACGGUGGGCACU
rnacentral:rRNA from 1 species